rnacentral:tRNA from 1 species
GAGUUGACCAAGGCUUAAGUGCUCACACGCAUUGCUUGAUCUAAUGACCUGGUAUAGCAGUGGUCGGGUCUGUAGCUCAGUUGGUUAGAGCGCACCCCUGAUAAGGGUGAGGUCGGCUGUUCAAGUCAGCCCAGACCCACCAAUACUGUGGGGCUAUAGCUCAGCUGGGAGAGCGCCUGCUUUGCACGCAGGAGGUCUGCGGUUCGAUCCCGCAUAGCUCCACCAUUCUAUACCAGCGUUGUUAUUGAAAAGCGCAGCAUGUGUUUUUCAAUGACUAUGUGGUCAGUGUUCUUUAACAAGUUGGAUUAACAAGUUUUGUAAUCAACAAAAUUGGAUACAUAUGUAUCAAUUUCAAGAGAUUACAGGCGCGUUUGGUGAUGCUGAUUAUAAAUCAGCAUUUAUCGUGUAAUCGGUGCCAUGCAUGAUCGGUCUCUUUGUGAGUUCCAGGAUUGUAUGAUCAAGUACCGAAGUGCACACGGUGGAUGCCUUGGC